ACGCUCGACACCUACGGGAGGCAGCAGUAGGGAAUCUUCCACAAUGGACGCAAGUCUGAUGGAGCAACGCCGCGUGAGUGAAGAAGGUCUUCGGAUCGUAAAACUCUGUUGUUAGAGAAGAACACGAGUGAGAGUAACUGUUCAUUCGAUGACGGUAUCUAACCAGCAAGUCACGGCUAACUACGUGCCAGAAGCCGCGGUAAUCUGAGCGGGCUGGCAAGGC
rnacentral:rRNA from 1 species